rnacentral:rRNA from 1 species
UACGGAGGGUGCGAGCGUUGUCCGGAAUUAUUGGGCGUAAAGCGCGCGCAGGCGGUCCUUUAAGUCUGAUGUGAAAGCCCACGGCUCAACCGUGGAGGGUCAUUGGAAACUGGGGGACUUGAGUGCAGAAGAGGAAAGCGGAAUUCCACGUGUAGCGGUGAAAUGCGUAGAGAUGUGGAGGAACACCAGUGGCGAAGGCGGCUUUCUGGUCUGUAACUGACGCUGAGGCGCGAAAGCGUGGGGAGCAAACAGG